GAGGGUAUAGCUCAGUGUUAGAGCACUUGCCUACCAUGCAUGAGGUCCUGGGUUCAACCCCUUAUACUUCCA
rnacentral:tRNA from 1 species